GGCUUGAGACAAUCUCAAUUCAACAAUUUUAUUUAUUACACCAUUAUUUUAGUUUAAUCAAAAAUACUAGUUUAAAACCACUCGCACAUUAAAAGUCACAGUUCUAGCUCAAUUCAGAUGUGAAUGCAAUUUGGGGUAGUGUCCUAAAAAAAAACAGCAAAACCAAAAGAAAAUUGUGCACCAAACCAGAAGCAGCACCACCACCAACACCACGAGCUGGCCGUUCCUGUCAAAAUAAAGGAAAAAGAAACAUUCGAAUUACAGAUAGUACAAUUAAGUCCACGACCAAUCAAGCAGCAAUAGUCCAAAUUAAGGGUCCGUCCUGGGAGGAACCGAUCCGCGGUAGCAGACGCCACUCAGAGCGGCACGAGAAGGAUUAGUCCGAGCUGGUCACCAACCAGCCACACUGGACGAGUGAUAGGAGCCAGCUUUACGCCGACCAGGACGGCGGGCAUGAAGCCAGCAAACAGGACGACAGGCGGACCGCCAGAACAGCAGGCAAACAGCCGGCCAAGGACAAACAGCAGCGGCUAUCAAGAAUAAAUGUUAGAAAUGGAAUCU